GUUUCUAUGGUGUACCUAGCACGUUAGAUUUUCGUUCUGAAGGCAUAAAUUUAUUUAUUAGAAAUA
rnacentral:tRNA from 1 species